GGCACGGUACGCCAACCGGGAGUGCGGCCAAGCUCAAACCUUGGUGCGUGUGGGUUCGAAUCCCUCCCGUGCUAC
rnacentral:tRNA from 1 species